rnacentral:rRNA from 1 species
GUAGGGAAUCUUCCACAACGGACGAAAGUCUGAUGGAGCAACGCCGCGUGAGUGAAGAAGGUCUUCGGAUCGUAAAACUCUGUUGUUAGAGAAGAACGUGCAUGAUAGUAACUGAUCAUGUAAUGACGGUAUCUAACCAGAAAGCCACGGCUAACUACGUGCCAGCAGCCGCGGUAAUACGUAGGUGGCAAGCGUUGUCCGGAUUUAUUGGGCGUAAAGGGAACGCAGGCGGUUUUUUAAGUCUGAUGUGAAAGCCUUCGGCUUAACCGAAGAAUAGCAUUGGAAACUGGAAGACUUGAGUGCAGAAGAGGAGAGUGGAAUUCCAUGUGUAGCGGUGAAAUGCGUAGAUAUAUGGAGGAACACCAGUGGCGAAGGCGGCUUUCUGGACGGUGUCUGACACUGAGGCGCGAAAGCUAGGGGAGCGAACGGGAUUAGAAACCCGUGUAGUCC